UACGAAGGGGGCUAGCGUUGUUCGGAAUUACUGGGCGUAAAGCGCACGUAGGCGGCUUCUUAAGUCGGUGGUGAAAUCCUGGAGCUCAACUCCAGAACCGCCUUCGAUACUGGGAAGCUCGAGUCCGGGAGAGGUGAGUGGAACUGCGAGUGUAGAGGUGAAAUUCGUAGAUACUCGCAAGAACACCAGUGGCGAAGGCAGCUCACUGGCCCGGUACUGACGCUGAGGUGCGAAAGCGUGGGGAGCAAACAGG
rnacentral:rRNA from 1 species